UCCGUAGGGGGAACCUGCGGAAGGAUCAUUACCUAGAGUUGUAGGCUUUGCCUGCUAUCUCUUACCCAUGUCUUUUGAGUACCUUACGUUUCCUCGGCGGGUCCGCCCGCCGAUUGGACAAUUUAAACCAUUUGCAGUUGCAAUCAGCGUCUGAAAAAACUUAAUAGUUACAACUUUCAACAACGGAUCUCUUGGUUCUGGCAUCGAUGAAGAACGCAGCGAAAUGCGAUAAGUAGUGUGAAUUGCAGAAUUCAGUGAAUCAUCGAAUCUUUGAACGCACAUUGCGCCCCUUGGUAUUCCAUGGGGCAUGCCUGUUCGAGCGUCAUUUGUACCUUCAAGCUCUGCUUGGUGUUGGGUGUUUGUCUCGCCUCUGCGUGUAGACUCGCCUCAAAACAAUUGGCAGCCGGCGUAUUGAUUUCGGAGCGCAGUACAUCUCGCGCUUUGCACUCAUAACGACGACGUCCAAAAGUACAUUUUUACACUCUUGACCUCGGAUCAGGUAGGGAUACCCGCUGAACUUAAGCAUAUCAAUAGGCCGGAGGA
rnacentral:rRNA from 1 species